rnacentral:pre_miRNA from 1 species
UCUCAGGGAUGAGCAAAGCAAGUGGUUUCUUGAGAUGGAACCUACUGGUGAAGAUAACUGGGAA